CAAGCAGUUACCAUACAAAGGGAGUCUCUCUGUGUUGCCUCUAGAAUCUUUCUAACCUAAGUGCAACUAACCUUUGACUCCUAGGCCCUCCUUGCCUUAGGUCCCCUUCACCUCAGACAGAGCCUGUAUUCAGUCCAUACAUACCAGAACAGUUAUCAAGUUAAUCAGUGUGCAGCUUUCAUACCAGUGAAUCAGUGCCCACCUCGCUUAGUCCACAGAGGGUUCCCCUCCACUCCCUGACCACUCUGGCUGGUGUCAGUUCUGAUUGGCUGGCACCUGUGCCAACUCAGUUGCUAGACAUUUUGAGUGUCACCCCUACAAAGUGUAACCACCCUCCAUGAACCUGGAGGUGGGGGUGGGGAGAGGGAUGGGGCCAGGCCACUGAAUGGGCUGUAGCUUCCAGCAUCCAGAGUGGAGACAUGAUUCCUAGCCCUUUGAUCUGGGCAGCUGGUGGAUAAUCAGGCCUGACUUUUCCAUGAAUCAAACUGUUCCCUCCCACAACCCCUCCCCAGCCAGCGCCUGCCUCACCAGUUAUUCACAUUGAUAUCUCCUCUCCUCCUGGCCACUGAGGUCAAGAGGGCCCACAGGGCCAGAAAGGGACCUCCCAGUAAAGGAGGCUUGCUCAGGAGAGAGAUCCUGGGAAGGGAGGAACAGAGAUGACUAUCUUCUGGACUCUUCUGGGGAAAACUGAAGGCUCUUUCUGGAGAAGCCUCCAAUGGGGAGAUGGGUGAUGAGGUCAAGAGGACCCUACAAAGGCAGAAGCCAGGUUUUUUUUCCACCUGUCCCCAUUCACACCUGGACCAGUGUGGGGCAUGCAGAGCAUGGGAUCAGUGUUUCUAAUUCAGAACUCCUUUUAUGACACUUGAGCCACCCCUGUACUUUGCCUAUUAUCUGGUUUUUAUUCCUUUUCUGGAUUUAUUUUAUUUUAUUUUUUAUUUAUUUAUUUUUUUGAGAUAGAGUCUUGCUCUGUCACCCAGGCUGGAGUGCAGUGGUGUGAUCUCAGCUCACUGCAUCCUCCGGGAGAAUCACUUGAACCUGGGAGGUGGAGGUUGCAGUGAGCUGAGAUCAUGCCACUGUACUCCAGCCUGGGCAAUGAAGUGAGACUCUGUCUCAAAAGCAAACAAACAAACAAACAAAAAACCCAAAGUUAUUAGUUAAACAGAGUUCAUAAAGUGAGACAAUGUGUUGAUGUUCACUCUUUGACUAAUCGUUGUCUUUCUACGCAAGUUUAGGACUGUGAAAGGCUUUGAAAACAGACCGCAGCCUUUAGUUAAUUGAAUCAAGAAACUGUUUGAGACCAGAGGUAGUCACACUGACACAUACACAAACAGAUGAUGGAUCAGUGAUGAACAUUAGCUGAUGAUCAUGAUAACGACACAAUCUUGACUGAAGGAUCAUUAUGCACCAGGUUUUCCAGAGUUUUACACACGUUGUCUCAUUUUUCUCACAACAGUCCUAUGCAGUAGGUACUCUUACUCAUUUCAGAUUUGAGGAUGUGAUGGAAUGGGAACCAGGGCGCAUGCUGCCACUUGCAGUUGGCAGUGAGCUGUGUAUAUUUAAUGUUUUGGCUGCUUCCUUUCUGCCCUCCCCAGUUGUCCAAUUCCAUCUUCCCUUUCCUUCUCUCAGAGCCACCUGCCAGCCCCCUCACUCCUUCCUUUUCCUUGUUCUCAGAACUCUUAUGUUUUUUGUUUAUCUUUUACGCAUUUAUUAUUUUUAAGAACUGUUGUGUGUGUGUGUGUGUGUGUGUGUGUGUGUGUUUUUUUUGAGCCAGAGUCUCGCUCUGUCACCCAGGCUGGAGUGCAGAGGCGCGAUCUCUGCUUACUGCAACCUCCGCCUCCCCGGUUCAAGCGAUUCUCCUGCCUCAGCCUCCAGAGUAGCUGGGAUUACAGGCAUGUGCCACCACGCCUGGCUAAUUUUUGUAUUUUUAGUAGAGAUGGGGUUUUGCUGUGUUGGCCAGGCUGGUCUCAAACUCCUGACCUCAGGUGAUCUGCUCGCCACGGCCUCCCAAAGUGCUGGGAUUACAGCCAUGAGCCACCGCGCCAGGCCUAGAACUGUUAUGUUUUGAGUGUCCCCUGCAUGAGCUGACCCUGCCUGUGGCUGGGGGUGCUCCUGGGGUCUUCCUGUGUUGUCCAGCUAGGGCAUGGCCAGGGCAGGGCCAGGCAGUUGGGUGAUUAUCAGGCACCCUCCUCUCACAUUCCAUAUCUGUCUUUGGUCCACCUAUCCAUCCCUGCCAGGCUGUCCACAUCCUUCGCCACCCUUUCUUCUUCUACCCUUGCCUGUGGCUGCGGUCCUGCUGAAUCUGUAGGUGAGGGCAGAUAGAGGUUCAGCUUCCAGCAUCUUCCCUUGCUGCCUGGCCCUGGGGAGAAUCCUUGAGUCUAACUCUACCCAACUCUUCUCUUGCUCCAGAAGAGUAGAAUUAAGGAUCUUACUCCUCACCCUCUCUUAGGUGACUUCCCUUUUUCCAAGGGAUAUGGGAAGGUAUUGGAGCACAGGAUGGGGCUAGGGACCCAAGAUAGCAAACCCCAGAGCAACUGAGGGGCUCACUUACUUAGAUGGCAUUUUAUCCCACUAUGAUGUCCCCAAGAGUUUCUCCCUGGGAGUUCCUAAGGGCACCUUUUGAGACCUGGGGGAGUCCAUCUCAAUGUCACCUUCCGUACAGUGUGGGGAGAAGCAUGGAGCCAUCUAUAUUAAGACAGUUAGACCAAUGGCUUUGUGGAUGAGGCAGGAUAGGGGUCACUGCCAUGGAUAGGCUAAGGGUUGGGGUGUAGCAGGCAGGAAGGCCAAUGAAUAAGGAGAAAUGAUGUUUUCCUCAGAGUGCUGAGACAGCAUUGUCUUACCUCUCCCCUGAUGUACGUGUGUGUGUGUGUGUGCGUGUAUGUGUGUAUGCACAUGUGUGGGCUUUUCCUUGAGAUGGAGAUAAGGUGGGGGAGUAGUUGAAAAAGGGCAGGGAAGCUCCUCCUAGCACUAAGUUGGGGGUUGGGAGUCAGGGGUGCAGAACAAGAGAUAAGCACACUAAUGUUAGAACGAGGCUUUGGAAUCACAGAAAGGGGCUCAGACUGAUGUUCAGACCUGGGUUCUAGGUGCAGCUCUGCCCAUUUGUGACCUUGGGCAGGUCACUUUGCCUCUCAGAAGAGCUUCAGUAUCUGCAUCCGGCAGUACAGGGAUUCAUUUAGUCAAUGAAUAUCUGCUAAAUUCCAACUGUGUGACAGAAACUAAUUUAAGUAUGGAGAUUCAGAUGUGAGCAAAGAAACAAAAAUCCCCGUUCUCAUAAAGCUUCCUUUCUGGUGGGGGGAUUGAACUGGAGGGGGUGUCUAAGGCUCCUUCCAGUUGUAAAGUUCUGUGACUUCAAAGAAAAACUCUUUAAUAGAAUCACAAACAAGCCAAGCAGGGAGCUGGGGGGCCGAGGCAGAGCGCGAGAAGUAGGAGAAGGAAGAGGGGAAGGAUGACAGCUCAAACUCCAGCGAAGACAUUGAAUAGGGGCGCGGGGGAGGGAAAGGUGAGAGGCCAAGAGGUGGGGUGAGUCUCAUAUGUAAGACAAGUGUGUCCUGGAUACGGUAGGGGACUCUGACUGGCAUUCAGGCUACUGCUUGUGGGGUGGGUAAGGGGAGGGCUGCAUCAUUGCCUCAAGCCAAACGUUCUUUGCCCACAGACCCCACAGUCCCCAUCUCUGGCCCAGAUGACCUCUCUCCUCCCGCCAGCCUCGGGAACCCUUCGGGGCAGCCAGAGUGUGGGCCAGGGUCCUGCAGCGUGGGAGAAUUGCCUGAACGCGAGGGGCAGCCUCCCGAGGCGCCGAGGCCCCUCUUUUUCCUGACCCUGGAGGCCGACUGGGCAGAGGCCAGGGCUCGCUGGGGGCUGGCCUGGGAGGCCCACGUGUACGGGCGAUUACACCGUGGACUUCCGCCCGCCCUCCCCAAUCAACCUGCGACGCAGCAUCGAGGAGGCCCUCUGCAGCGAGGCCCUGCUUGCGCCUGGCCUCUUCCAGGGCCCUGCCUUCGAGGACGCUCUGCCUGGGCUCGGACUCUACCGCACCGCCUCGCUGGGGACCGGGGGCAGGGCCAGUGAGAGAUCAGGGGAGGCCUCUGGCCCCGCUGCGCCCCCGGAGCUCCCCUCCCCUGGGGCUUGGCCCGCAGGCAGCAGCGUCUCAUCUGGCUCGUUCUGCGGACUCUCGCGGGACAGCUCGUCCAUGCUGCUGUGUUCCAGCCCCGACAGGCCCCCGCGCUGCCCUCUGGUCUGCGUCCUCAGUCCCCCGCGGCCCUCAGGAAGCAGCCCCAGCCUCCCGGCCUCAGGAUCCUACCAGGCCCUGUCCCCACCCUCUCGCGACUCCCCAGAGCCUGCUUCUGAGCUGCAGGCCGAGGAGGCCUUGCUGCAGGAGCAGUUCCUGGACGCCUGCCGACAGAUCGACGAGCUGAGCGUGGGCAGCGACACCAUAGACCUGUGAAGAGGUGGCCACCUUGCUACCCUGCGAUAUGCCCCUUUCUGGCGCCUGCCCUGCCCGAGACCUGCACACUGUAAUCCUUCCCCAAUCCUCCCUGGCUCAGAUACCUCUCCAGAUUCCUUCCCCAUCCAGGGGUCCCUGGGUGGGUGGGUCAGCAGCCAGGCUCUAUCGAUUGGGAAUCAGUGCCACCUUCUCUGGAGCCCUGGGUGCUGAUGCCCUCAGCUGCAAAUCUAGGUUGGCAGGGGUCCCAUUUUCCUUGGCAUUCACCAGCAAUAAAGCUCCAAGGUGCUCCACUCCUGACCACCACUCCCCACUCUGGUGCUGAGUGAGAGGGGCUGUCCUCAGAGGACCCUGGGACCUGCCUCAGGCCCCCCUACCCACCUCUGCCAUGCCUAGGAAUCCCACCCCUGUGUGAAUGGGACUCCCUUUCCUCCAUGUGACACCCACAGGGGUCCAUGACCCAUCUAGGAGACUUUAUAGCAGUUGGGUGGGAGGGGAAUGCUCUUAAUUUAUCAAUAAAAUAUUUUCAGAGG
rnacentral:lncRNA from 10 species